AGCGAACGCUGGCGGCAGGCUUAACACAUGCAAGUCGAGCGGGCGUAGCAAUACGUCAGCGGCAGACGGGUGAGUAACGCGUGGGAACGUACCUUUUGGUUCGGAACAACCCAGGGAAACUUGGGCUAAUACCGGAUAAGCCCUUACGGGGAAAGAUUUAUCGCCGAAAGAUCGGCCCGCGUCUGAUUAGCUAGUUGGUGUGGUAACGGCGCACCAAGGCGACGAUCAGUAGCUGGUCNGAGAGGAUGAUCAGCCACAUUGGGACUGAGACACGGCCCAAACUCCUACGGGAGGCAGCAGUGGGGAAUAUUGGACAAUGGGCGCAAGCCUGAUCCAGCCAUGCCGCGUGAGUGAUGAA
rnacentral:rRNA from 1 species